CCUCCCAUUAAAUCUCCGUCAAAUCAUUGUGGGCGUUUUACCAGAUCAUCAUAUUUGGUGACUGCCCCUCCUCUUCUCUCCUAGUCCUCCUUUCUCCAGUCGCUAAUGAAGCUCGCUAGUUCGCCAACUUCCGCCUACCUUUGAUGAUAAACUCGAAACCAAGUUCAGCCAGGUCUCUCUAUAUUUCUCUCCUUUUGCUUAUGUAUGUAUAGAUAUUUGUUUGGAUCUACAAUUUCGCUGUUGGUUUUGUGAUGCUUUGUCACUUUAUUUGUUAGAUCUGCUCUUAGCUUGCCUUUUUUAUAGAGGUUUUAUGUAUCUGAUGUUGUAAGGAACCUAUAUUAUUAUAACUGAAAUUUUCUAAAAGUCCUUUAGAAAUGUAAGAAACCCUAGUUAGUUGUUCAAAGAUAUACUAGCGAAAUCUGUACAGAGGAUUGUGUAGCGGUCCUAACUAAUUUAGGAUCGAGGCUUAGUUAAUGAUUAAAUCAAGAGCUCUGUUGUGUAAUGGUCAUAUUUACUGCUAUAUAUCCUUAUGCAAGAUAUGGAAUUCUGCUUGUUGAAGAAUUGAAUUAGUUUGCUUGGAUUAAUUAUAGUAUUAUUUGGAAUGGUACUGUAGUUUUUCUUACUAUACGAACCUGUUAAUUAAUUUUUUAGAUGGGUGGCUGUGAAAUUGUUGUUGUGAGAGAUAUGGUGAAGUCUUCGUAGUCGCUAGAAUGGUUGGGCUUCUCUGCUUGGUGAGGCAUUUACUAGUUUUAUACUUAAUGAUCUUCAUCUUUCGUAUUUAAUGCACUAUGAAUUAACUUGAUUGAUAAGCUUUACUUCCUGUAGGUUUGUAAUAACUUUUUGUUGAUUUUCUGAAGAUGUUCUAGUAAAAUGAACUUGCUAUUUUUGUUGCUCUUUUGUGUAUGUUGGAGUUAGUCCCUCCAUCUGAUUAUACAUUAUACCUUUUUCCCGUCAUCUGUUCUUCAUUUCGUGUGAUUAUCAUUUGAUUCUUGUUUUACUGAUAUCAGAUUAGGAUUUCUUGGGAUGAAAUUUUUCCUUAAAGGUUGGUCUUUUUGAUUAGAUUUGGUCAAUGGUAAUUUUUUAUCAUCGUUUGUACAAAUGACUCUGGUUUUCUCUAUUAGAGAGUAUAGUAUGCAUUCUAUCUUAAUUCCAUGUAAUUUGGAGUAGAGAGAAUUUUUCUUUUAUAUCCUUCUAGUUGAAAUCUGAUUUCCUUGUUUAAUUUUGUUCUGCAGGCAUUGUAUUGAAGGGGUGGUUCAUCACCUAAUAUUCCAAGAAAAUUGCCAGUACUUAUUAAAUA
rnacentral:lncRNA from 1 species